rnacentral:rRNA from 1 species
AUUGAACGCUGGCGGCAGGCUUAACACAUGCAAGUCGAGCGGGGUGAUGUAGCUUGCUACAUUACCUAGCGGCGGACGGGUGAGUAAUGCUUAGGAAUCUGCCUAUUAGUGGGGGACAACAUUCCGAAAGGAAUGCUAAUACCGCAUACGCCCUACGGGGGAAAGCAGGGGAUCUUCGGACCUUGCGCUAAUAGAUGAGCCUAAGUCAGAUUAGCUAGUUGGUGGGGUAAAGGCCUACCAAGGCGACGAUCUGUAGCGGGUCUGAGAGGAUGAUCCGCCACACUGGGACUGAGACACGGCCCAGACUCCUACGGGAGGCAGCAGUGGGGAAUAUUGGACAAUGGGCGCAAGCCUGAUCCAGCCAUGCCGCGUGUGUGAAGAAGGCCUUUUGGUUGUAAAGCACUUUAAGCGAGGAGGAGGCUACUGAGAUUAAUACUCUUGGAUAGUGGACGUACUCGCAGAUAGC